GUGACUCAUCAGCUUUUUACUUGUACUGCCAUUGUAAAGUACUUUUGGGCUAAUUAGCUGGCUUGAUCUCUAGGUAGGUGAGCAAGUGGCUUAAGUGAUCUGCACUUAGUCGGGAAAAGAGCUUCUCCCUUCUUCUGGGCUUCGGCUUCCUUCCUUCUGGAUCUUCUUUUGGGCUAUCUCCCUUUUGAGCCCAAAAUUCAAGUUUUAACCCAAACAAUAUCACUAAAGAUUUAAGACGUACAAAAGUGGAUCCAUGAUCAUUAGCUCCGUUUGUGUCUUGAAAUUGGUUUUUAUAUGUAUGUAUGUGGACUGGUGAACCGGUGAUUAUAUAUUUUGAGUCGUUUCUUUAAAAAUUUAGGUACGUUGCGUUUUUGUGAAUCAUCGAAGCAACAAGGAAUGGUUACUCUUCUUCAGCUCAUUCAUAGAAAGUUAAAUGCAUGAAAAUGUAUAACUAGAUUGGAAUACAAAGACAAACAAUUUUCAUGUUGAAACUUUAGCCGCUAGCGAGAGAAAAAAAAAAACCUUUGUCGCCUAGCAAAAGACUGUGAGAAGGAAGUUCGUCAUUUGUUGGAUCAAGGCAACUGAAAGCAGAGUAUUUCUUCCGAUGAUCACAUGAUCAUCAGAAGUGCAGCCUUUUUCUCGUAGUGCCCUUACGAUUGUUGUCUAGCCUCCAUGCGGAGCAGUUUCUGAAGACGGCGUCGUUAGGGGCUUUGUCUUGUCUUCAAUCUCCAAUGGACAACGGAAUAGUCGUCGAG
rnacentral:lncRNA from 1 species